UCGGGAAUUUUGGGCAAUGGGCGCAAGCCUGACCCAGCAACGCCGCGUGAAGGAUGAAGUUUUUCGGAAUGUAAACUUCACAAGAAUGGGAAGAAUAAGUUGAGGUUAAUACCCUCGACGAUGACGGUACCAUUUGUAAGCUCCGGCUAACUCCGUGCCAGCAGCCGCGGUAAUACGGGGGGAGCAAGCGUUGUUCGGAUUUACUGGGCGUAAAGGGCGCGUAGGCGGCGCCGCAAGUCACUUGUGAAAUCUCCGGGCUCAACUCGGAACGGCCAAGUGAUACUGCGGUGCUAGAGUGCGGAAGGGGCAACUGGAAUUCUUGGUGUAGCGGUGAAAUGCGUAGAUAUCAAGAGGAACACCUGCGGCGAAGGCGGGUUGCUGGGCCGACACUGACGCUGAGGCGCGAAAGCUAGGGGAGCGAACGG
rnacentral:rRNA from 1 species